AGCAGCCGCGGUAAUUCCAGCUCCAAUAGCGUAUAUUAAAGUUGUUGCAGUUAAAAAGCUCGUAGUUGAAUUUCGGGGUUAGUAGGUUGGUCAUGCCUCUGGUAUGUACUGGUCUCACUGAUUCCUCCUUCCUGAUGAACCUUAAUGCCAUUAAUUUGGUGUUUUGGGGAAUUUGGACUGUUACUUUGAAAAAAUUAGAGUGUUUAAAGCAAGCUAACGCUUGAAUACAUUAGCAUGGAAUAAUGAAAUAGGACGUUCGAUCCUAUUUUGUUGGUUUCUAGGAUUGACGUAAUGAUUAAUAGGGAUAGUUGGGGGCAUUAGUAUUCAAUUGUCAGAGGUGAAAUUCUUGGAUUUAUUGAAGACUAACUACUGCGAAAGCAUUUGCCAAGGAUGUUUUCAUUAAUCAAGAACGAAAUUAGGGGAUCGGAGACGAUCAGAUACCGUCGUAGUCUUAACCAUAAACUAUGCCGACUAGGGAUCGGAUGAUGUUAAUUUUUAAUGACUCAUUCGGCGCCUUACG
rnacentral:rRNA from 1 species